CGGGACACGUGGUAUCCUGUCUGAAUAUGGGGGGACCAUCCUCCAAGGCUAAAUACUCCUGACUGACCGAUAGUGAACCAGUACCGUGAGGGAAAGGCGAAAAGAACCCCGGCGAGGGGAGUGAAAAAGAACCUGAAACCGUGUACGUACAAGCAGUGGGAGCACGCUUAGGCGUGUGACUGCGUACCUUUUGUAUAAUGGGUCAGCGACUUAUAUUCUGUAGCAAGGUUAACCGAAUAGGGGAGCCGAAGGGAAACCGAGUCUUAACUGGGCGUUAAGUUGCAGGGUAUAGACCCGAAACCCGGUGAUCUAGCCAUGGGCAGGUUGAAGGUUGGGUAACACUAACUGGAGGACCGAACCGACUAAUGUUGAAAAAUUAGCGGAUGACUUGUGGCUGGGGGUGAAAGGCCAAUCAAACCGGGAGAUAGCUGGUUCUCCCCGAAAGCUAUUUAGGUAGCGCCUCGUGAAUUCAUCUCCGGGGGUAGAGCACUGUUUCGGCAAGGGGGUCAUCCCGACUUACCAACCCGAUGCAAACUGCGAAUACCGGAGAAUGUUAUCACGGGAGACACACGGCGGGUGCUAACGUCCGUCGUGAAGAGGGAAACAACCCAGACCGCCAGCUAAGGUCCCAAAGUCAUGGUUAAGUGGGAAACGAUGUGGGAAGGCCCAGACAGCCAGGAUGUUGGCUUAGAAGCAGCCAUCAUUUAAAGAAAGCGUAAUAGCUCACUGGUCGAGUCGGCCUGCGCGGAAGAUGUAACGGGGCUAAACCAUGCACCGAAGCUGCGGCAGCGACACUAUGUGUUGUUGGGUAGGGGAGCGUUCUGUAAGCCUGUGAAGGUGUACUGUGAGGUAUGCUGGAGGUAUCAGAAGUGCGAAUGCUGACAUAAGUAACGAUAAAGCGGGUGAAAAGCCCGCUCGCCGGAAGACCAAGGGUUCCUGUCCAACGUUAAUCGGGGCAGGGUGAGUCGACUCCUAAGGCGAGGCCGAAAGGCGUAGUCGAUGGGAAACAGGUUAAUAUUCCUGUACUUGGUGUUACUGCGAAGGGGGGACGGAGAAGGCUAUGUUGGCCGGGCGACGGUUGUCCCGGUUUAAGCGUGUAGGCUGGUUUUCCAGGCAAAUCCGGAAAACUAAGGCUGAGGCGUGAUGACGAGGCACUACGGUGCUGAAGCAACAAAUGCCCUGCUUCCAGGAAAAGCCUCUAAGCAUCAGGUAACAUCAAAUCGUACCCCAAACCGACACAGGUGGUCAGGUAGAGAAUACCAAGGCGCUUGAGAGAACUCGGGUGAAGGAACUAGGCAAAAUGGUGCCGUAACUUCGGGAGAAGGCACGCUGAUAUGUAGGUGAAGUCCCUCGCGGAUGGAGCUGAAAUCAGUCGAAGAUACCAGCUGGCUGCAACUGUUUAUUAAAAACACAGCACUGUGCAAACACGAAAGUGGACGUAUACGGUGUGACGCCUGCCCGGUGCCGGAAGGUUAAUUGAUGGGGUCAGCGCAAGCGAAGCUCUUGAUCGAAGCCCCGGUAAACGGCGGCCGUAACUAUAACGGUCCUAAGGUAGCGAAAUUCCUUGUCGGGUAAGUUCCGACCUGCACGAAUGGCGUAAUGAUGGCCAGGCUGUCUCCACCCGAGACUCAGUGAAAUUGAACUCGCUGUGAAGAUGCAGUGUACCCGCGGCAAGACGGAAAGACCCCGUGAACCUUUACUAUAGCUUGACACUGAACAUUGAGCCUUGAUGUGUAGGAUAGGUGGGAGGCUUUGAAGUGUGGACGCCAGUCUGCAUGGAGCCGACCUUGAAAUACCACCCUUUAAUGUUUGAUGUUCUAACGUUGACCCGUAAUCCGGGUUGCGGACAGUGUCUGGUGGGUAGUUUGACUGGGGCGGUCUCCUCCUAAAGAGUAACGGAGGAGCACGAAGGUUGGCUAAUCCUGGUCGGACAUCAGGAGGUUAGUGCAAUGGCAUAAGCCAGCUUGACUGCGAGCGUGACGGCGCGAGCAGGUGCGAAAGCAGGUCAUAGUGAUCCGGUGGUUCUGAAUGGAAGGGCCAUCGCUCAACGGAUAAAAGGUACUCCGGGGAUAACAGGCUGAUACCGCCCAAGAGUUCAUAUCGACGGCGGUGUUUGGCACCUCGAUGUCGGCUCAUCACAUCCUGGGGCUGAAGUAGGUCCCAAGGGUAUGGCUGUUCGCCAUUUAAAGUGGUACGCGAGCUGGGUUUAGAACGUCGUGAGACAGUUCGGUCCCUAUCUGCCGUGGGCGCUGGAGAACUGAGGGGGGCUGCUCCUAGUACGAGAGGACCGGAGUGGACGCAUCACUGGUGUUCGGGUUGUCAUGCCAAUGGCACUGCCCGGUAGCUAAAUGCGGAAGAGAUAAGUGCUGAAAGCAUCUAAGCACGAAACUUGCCCCGAGAUGAGUUCUCCCUGACUCCUUGAGAGUCCUGAAGGAACGUUGAAGACGACGACGUUGAUAGG
rnacentral:rRNA from 1 species